UACAGAGGUCUCAAGCGUUGUUCGGAUUCAUUGGGCGUAAAGGGUGCGUAGGUGGCGUGGUAAGUCGGGUGUGAAAUUUCGGAGCUUAACUCCGAAACUGCAUUCGAUACUGCUGUGCUUGAGGACUGGAGAGGAGACUGGAAUUUACGGUGUAGCAGUGAAAUGCGUAGAGAUCGUAAGGAAGACCAGUGGCGAAGGCGGGUCUCUGGACAGUUCCUGACGCUGAGGCGCGAAAGCGUGGGGAGCAAACGGG
rnacentral:rRNA from 1 species